CCUACGGGAGGCAGCAGUGAGGAAUAUUGGUCAAUGGCCGGGAGGCUGAACCAGCCAAGUCGCGUGAGGGAAGACGGCCCUACGGGUUGUAAACCUCUUUUGUCAGGGAGCAAGGUGCAGGUCGGGACCUGCUGUGAGAGUACCUGAAGAAAAAGCAUCGGCUAACUCCGGGCCAGCAGCCGCGGUAGUACGGAGGAGGCGAGCGUUAUCCGGUUUUCUUGGGUUUAAAGGGUGCGAAGGCGGAGGCGAAAGUCAGAGGUAACAUGGCGGGGCGCACCCCCGCCCCGCCGUUGAAACUGUGUCCCUUGAGUGCGCGAAGGGUAGGCGGAAUGCGUGGUGUAGCGGUGAAAUGCAUAGAUAUCACGCAGAACUCCGAUCGCGAAGGCAGCCUACCGGCGCGCAACUGACGCUCAUGCACGAAAGCGUGGGUAUCGAACAGGAUUAGAUACCCCAGUAGUC
rnacentral:rRNA from 1 species